GGUCUCUUAGCUCAGCUGGUUCAGAGCACCUGCCUUACAAGCAGGGGGUCACUGGUUCGAAUCCAGUAGGGACCACAA
rnacentral:tRNA from 3 species